GUUGUUGGGUAGGGGAGCGUUCUGUAAGCCGUUGAAGGUGACCUGUGAGGGUUGCUGGAGGUAUCAGAAGUGCGAAUGCUGACAUAAGUAACGAUAAUGCGGGUGAAAAACCCGCACGCCGGAAGACCAAGGGUUCCUGUCCAACGUUAAUCGGGGCAGGGUGAGUCGACCCCUAAGGCGAGGCUGAAAAGCGUAGUCGAUGGGAAACAGGUUAAUAUUCCUGUACUUGGUGUUACUGCGAAGGGGGGACGGAGAAGGCUAGGCUGGCCGGGCGACGGUUGUCCCGGUUUAAGCGUGUAGGGGGAGUGACCAGGUAAAUCCGGUUGCUUAUCAACCCUGAGGCGUGAUGACGAUGCACCACGGUGCAGAAGCAGUUGAUGCCAUGCUUCCAGGAAAAGCCUCUAAGCAUCAGGUAACAUUAAAUCGUACCCCAAACCGACACAGGUGGUCAGGUAGAGAAUACUCAGGCGCUUGAGAGAACUCGGGUGAAGGAACUAGGCAAAAUGGUGCCGUAACUUCGGGAGAAGGCACGCUGGCGUUAGGUGAAAGGACUAGCUCCUGGAGCUGAAGCCAGUCGCAGAUACCAGCUGGCUGCAACUGUUUAAUAAAAACACAGCACUGUGCAAACACGAAAGUGGACGUAUACGGUGUGACGCCUGCCCGGUGCUGGAAGGUUAAUUGAUGGGGUCAGCCGCAAGGCGAAGCUCUUGAUCGAAGCCCCAGUAAACGGCGGCCGUAACUAUAACGGUCCUAAGGUAGCGAAAUUCCUUGUCGGGUAAGUUCCGACCUGCACGAAUGGCGUAAUGAUGGCCAGGCUGUCUCCACCCGAGACUCAGUGAAAUUGAACUCGCUGUGAAGAUGCAGUGUACCCGCGGCAAGACGGAAAGACCCCGUGAACCUUUACUAUAGCUUGACACUGAACAUUGAGCCUUGAUGUGUAGGAUAGGUGGGAGGCCUUGAAGUGUGGACGCCAGUCUGCAUGGAGCCAACCUUGAAAUACCACCCUUUAAUGUUUGAUGUUCUAACUCGGCCCCAUGAUCUGGGGUGAGGACAGUGUCUGGUGGGUAGUUUGACUGGGGCGGUCUCCUCCCAAAGAGUAACGGAGGAGCACGAAGGUUAGCUAAUCACGGUCGGACAUCGUGAGGUUAGUGCAAAGGCAUAAGCUAGCUUGACUGCGAGAGUGACGGCUCGAGCAGGUACGAAAGUAGGUCUUAGUGAUCCGGUGGUUCUGAAUGGAAGGGCCAUCGCUCAACGGAUAAAAGGUACUCCGGGGAUAACAGGCUGAUACCGCCCAAGAGUUCAUAUCGACGGCGGUGUUUGGCACCUCGAUGUCGGCUCAUCACAUCCUGGGGCUGAAGUAGGUCCCAAGGGUAUGGCUG
rnacentral:rRNA from 5 species